GCCAGGCAUGGUAGCUCAUGCCUGUAGUCCCAGAUACUCAGGAGGCUGAGAUGGGAGGAUUGCUUGAGCCCAGGAGUUGGAGGUUGUAGUGGGCCAAGACUGCGCCCUUGCACUCCAGCCUGGGCAACAGAGCAAGACCCUGUCUCAA
rnacentral:SRP_RNA from 1 species